rnacentral:lncRNA from 1 species
AAACAAAGACUGGGUGGCCUGGAUGCGUAUCCUGUCUUACCAGCAAAUCCAGUGUUCAAGAUUGUUUGCAUAACCAAUUCCAGCUUUGGCUCACUUCUGUUCUGAAUAAGCAGUUAAGCAGUUUGGAUAUUUUUCAGUUCCCCGUGGGCUGGCAGAGGAAAGAUAAGCAACACAGAGAGAGGACUGAGCGAUGUGAUCUGUUUAACUUCUGUUAGCCUAUAUGGAUGCACCUCCCUAAAGGUGGUAAAGUGAAGCCAGCUUCAUUCUCAUUGCUGACCAGCGUGCCAGGCAGAAAACCUUUGGAGUACUCCUUUCAUGGGGAGAAAAUGUUCAGUUCUUCAAGCACCCAACCCGUCUGCUGCCUUCUUUACCCUUCAAAAUAUCUGCAGAAGUUUUGAGUAGAUUAGAAACAGAUUAGAGCUGUCACCUGAAAACUGAGAGCACUCUGAACCUUGUGUGGGUUCCAGCUUGAGGGGGCCUGCAGCUGAUACAGGAGGGACUGGGGUGACAUCCAAGCAUUUCAAACCUCCCCAGACCCCCUGCUAUACUCUGCGAGUGGGUGCUAAUGCUCUGCUGCACUGCAGACUCUCCCUACAGAAGUCCCCAAAUGUAUAGUUAGCACCCAAAAUCACACCAGCUAGUGCAUCUGACUUCCAUCAGCAGGUUUGUGGCCAUGAUUUAUUUAUUUUUCUUCCAUCUGCAUGUGAUUUUAGAACAUGACAGAAGCCUGAAAUGGAGACAAACAACCUUCAGAUUCAUUUUCUCUCACACUCAUGGACACAUGCAAGCUUAUAUAAAAAAUAAUUGACCACAGUGGAAAGGUACAGUGUUAAUCCUUUUAAAAAGGCAGAUAUUUGGUUAAUGCCAGCACUUCAGAGGCCCAGACGAGAGUGCAUCCCCCUGAUGAAAGUAGCCUCCAAGCACAAGGUACGAGACGGCUCCUGCCCCCAGGAAUUUGCUGUCUCCACUCUUAACCCGCAUGAAAGGAGUGUAUUAUGCCUGUAGAAUGCACAGGGCUGACCAGGAAACUGAGAGUAGACCCAGGAUCUCCAUCCUGAUACCCUGCAUGGAUGGUGAAAUUUUCCAUUUCUGUUCUCAUAAAUUGAAAGAACAAAGCUUCUGCAAUCAAGGACCUGCUACUUCUGGUACUCUUGGAAGAAAAAAGCAGGAUUUCUACCUAGGACUUGUUUACUUUGUGCCUGAGCUGUUCCCAAGCUUGAUUUCUUCUAAAUUUCUCCAGAAGCUGAAAGAAACUCUGAAAACAAUGUGA